UGUAAGCGUAUACCAAAGUUGUUGCAGUUAAAACGCUCGUAGUCGGAAUUUGGCAGUUCCGGAUGUGUGCACGUCGUGUGCGCACUUCGCGGGGAUUGCUUUUGUGGUCUUGCGUAGGAUGAGGCACUUUUAUUAGUGAACGUCCUCACGCAACCACUUUUUACUGUGAGAAAAUCAGAGUGCUCAAAGCAGGCAUUUGCCGUGAAUGUAUUAGCAUGGAAUAAUAGAAUAGGACCUGGUUCUAUUUUGUUGGUUUGUUGGGGCUGAGUAAUGAUUAAGAGGGACAGUUGGGGGCAUUUGUAUUUCGGUGCUAGAGGUGAAAUUCUUAGAUUACCGAAAGACAAACUGCUGCGAAAGCGUCUGCCAAGGAUGUUUUCAUUGA
rnacentral:rRNA from 1 species